UACGUAGGUGGCUAGCGUUAUCCGGAAUUACUGGGCGUAAAGGGUGCGUAGGUGGUUUCUUAAGUCAGAGGUGAAAGGCUACGGCUCAACCGUAGUAAGCCUUUGAAACUGGGAAACUUGAGUGCAGGAGAGGAGAGUGGAAUUCCUAGUGUAGCGGUGAAAUGCGUAGAUAUUAGGAGGAACACCAGUUGCGAAGGCGGCUCUCUGGACUGUAACUGACACUGAGGCACGAAAGCGUGGGGAGCAAACAGGAUUAGAUACCCGGGUAGUCCCUGAGCGGG
rnacentral:rRNA from 1 species